GACGAACGCUGGCGGCGUGCCUAAUACAUGCAAGUCGAGCGAAUCAGUGGGAGCUUGCUCCCUGAGAUUAGCGGCGGACGGGUGAGUAACACGUGGGUAACCUGCCUGUAAGACUGGGAUAACUUCGGGAAACCGGAGCUAAUACCGGAUACGUUCUUUUCUCGCAUGAGGAGAGAUGGAAAGAUGGUUCUGCUAUCACUUACAGAUGGACCCGCGGCGCAUUAGCUAGUUGGUGAGGUAGCGGCUCACCAAGGCGACGAUGCGUAGCCGACCUGAGAGGGUGAUCGGCCACACUGGGACUGAGACACGGCCCAGACUCCUACGGGGGGCAGCAGUAGGGAAUCUUCCGCAAUGGACGAAAGUCUGACGGAGCAACGCCGCGUGAGCGAAGAAGGCCUUCGGGUCGUAAAGCUCUGUUGUUAGGGAAGAACAAGUACGAGAGUAACUGCUCGUACCUUGACGGUACCUAACCAGAAAGCCACGGCUAACUACGUGCCAGCCGCCGCAGUAA
rnacentral:rRNA from 1 species